rnacentral:rRNA from 1 species
CCUACGGGGGGUAGCAGUGGGGAAUAUUGCGCAAUGGGCGAAAGCCUGACGCAGCGACGCCGCGUGAGGGAUGAAGGUCUUCGGAUCGUAAACCUCUGUCAGCAGGGAAGAACGGUCACUGUGCUAAUCAGCAGUGAAUUGACGGUACCUGCAAAGGAAGCACCGGCUAAAUACGUGCCAGCAGCCGCGGUAAUACGUAUGGUGCAAGCUUUAUCCGGAUUUACUGGGGGUAACGGGAGCGCAGGCGGCGCGUUCAGCCUGGUGUGAAAGCCCGCGGCCCAACCGCGGGACUGCAUUGGGAACUGGCGCGCUGGAGUGCCGGAGGGGUAGGCGGAAUUCCUAGUGUAGCGGUGAAAUGCGUAGAUAUUAGGAGGAACACCAGUGGCGAAGGCGGCCUACUGGACGGUGACUGACGCUGAGGCUCGAAAGCGUGGGGAGCAAACAGGAUUAGAUACCCUAGUAGUC